AACCCACAGGACAUUAAAGAAACGGGAAACAGUCCCACCAUUCUUUAGAAAUCUCCCAGCCUCACCAGUGAUACUAAGGUAAACACGCAUUAAUAAUGCUUUACAGGUCAGAACAAGCUAAAUGUCAGGUACUCACACCUUUAUCCUCCAAUGUUGACCUUGGCUUUGCAACUCUCUUUGGUGACCACGUUUAUUAACGUUAAACAGAGCUGCAGUCAGCUAGCUCCUCAGGCCUCUCACUGAGCAUCGCGAGUGUGCAAGCACUGGCCUAGGAGUCUAUUUCCUGGUCCCACUGGCUGUCAUUGGGCUAUGUGGCCAAGCCUACGGCAGAAGAAGUCAGGAAAGCGUUCAGCGGCUGUUCCCCAUCUCUCAUCCCUGCAGUGGGAGCAAAGCUCCUCCAGACAGUUCCUGUGACUCAGCCUCUCUCUCUGACCAAACUGUAGCCCGGUUCCUACAAGCCCUCUCCUCGACCAGCCCUAUGAGAAUCACCCCCUCAGCCCACGUGUCCGUGUCCUGCUCCACACGAAGAGACUUGCAGACACCAGCACCCUUUCUGCCGGCUGAAGGCUGUGUUCCUAGGAUGAAACUCUUUCCCCUUAAGUUCCUGCCCGAGAACGAUCAACUGUGCUGAAAGAAUUAACUAUUUAUUUCAGUCAAAACCUGGCCAUAGGAUCCUGACCUUCCUUUUCGUAGAGCUUUUAUGUAGAAAACUUACAAUUGUAAAUUAUUUCUCUGCACCUUUGAGAUAUAAAUCUUCUCCCAGCCUCCUGCCAGUUUUAUAACCCAUCAAUGUCUUUCUCGAGAACCUAAGAGGCAUCCUUUGAAAUGUCAUCAUCAAGGACGGGACCCCUGCCUCCCAGUCUCUGUGGAAGGGUAGGAGUUUAACUUCCACAAGUGCCAGGCACAAACAGAGGUGCCUAAUCACAUCCAACGUUCCUGUCCUUUUGUAGUUUCCUUUAGAACAGCCCAGCAUUUAAAAAGCCUCCUGCUUUCAUUUCAGAGGAGUUGGUCUCAGCUGACGUCUCUCUCCCCUAUUGCAGGAGUCUGAAUAAAAUCUGUCUCACCAUUUUUAACGUGUCCA
rnacentral:lncRNA from 1 species